AAGAAUUUACCUUUAGGAGGGGGACAACACUGGAAACGGUUGCUAAUACCCCAUAUGCUUUCGAGUGAAAUGGAUUUCCGCCUAAAGAGAAGCUUGCGGCUGAUUAGCUUGUUGGUAAGGUAAUGGCUUACCAAGGCGACGAUCAGUAUCUGGUUUGAGAGGACGAUCAGACACGCUGGAACUGAGACACGGCCCACACUCCUACGGGAGGCAGCAGUGGGGAAUUUUCCGCAAUGGGCGAAAGCCUGACGGAGCAAUACCGCGUGAGGGAUGACGGCCUAUGGGUUGUAAACCUCUUUUUUCAUGGAGGAACAAAAUGACGUGUACCUGAAGAAUAAGCAUCGGCUAACUCCGUGCCAGCAGCCGCGGUAAGACGGAGGAUGCAAGUGUUAUCCGGAAUCACUGGGCGUAAAGCGUCUGUACGUGGUUUAAUAAGUCAACUGUUAAAUCUUGAGGCUC
rnacentral:rRNA from 1 species